UCCUCCUUAGCUCAGUUGGUUAGAGCAUCUGACUGUUAAUCAGAGGGUCGCUGGUUCAAGUCCA
rnacentral:tRNA from 1 species